rnacentral:lncRNA from 1 species
UACUAUUUUCUACUCUAUAUGAGUUUAGGAAAUAGUAUUGAUUUCCAAUUGUUAUUUGGUUUUUUUGGCAGUAAUGUUCCCUAUAAAUAGGUGGGUUGGCAUACUACAAAGAUACACAAGAAAGGAGUGAGAGAGUUCUUAGUAGGUGAGAGGGUUAUACAAGAGUUGGGGCUUGGGAAUCAAGUUGUAAUCUUGUGGUGUUUUUCUCUCAUAUAAGAACAAGUUUUUCUCUCCGUGGAUGUAG